GACGAACGCUGGCGGCGUGCCUAAUACAUGCAAGUUGAGCGAUGAAGAUUGGUGCUUGCCCCAAUUUGAAGAGCAGCGAACGGGUGAGUAACGCGUGGGGAAUCUGCCUUUGAGCGGGGGACAACAUUUGGAAACGAAUGCUAAUACCGCAUAACAACUUUAAACAUAAGUUUUAAGUUUGAAAGAUGCAAUUGCAUCACUCAAAGAUGAUCCCGCGUUGUAUUAGCUAGUUGGUGAGGUAAAGGCUCACCAAGGCGAUGAUACAUAGCCGACCUGAGAGGGUGAUCGGCCACAUUGGGACUGAGACACGGCCCAAACUCCUACGGGAGGCAGCAGUAGGGAAUCUUCGGCAAUGGACGAAAGUCUGACCGAGCAACGCCGCGGGAGUGAAGAAGGUUGUCGGAUCGUAAAACUCUGUUGGUAGAGAAGAACGUUGGUGAGAGUGGAAAGCUCAUCAAGUGACGGUAACUACCCAGAAAGGGACGGCUAACUACGUG
rnacentral:rRNA from 1 species